ensembl:lncRNA
AUUUGUACAAAUAUUUAAAUAAUUUGUCCACUAAAUUAAACACUUUUACUUUAGAUAAUGCAUAUUUGUCAGUGCUAAAAUUAUGAAGGCUUUUGAUGUGAAGAGGAAGGAUGGAUCCAAAGAGAAUUAAGUGGAUUAAUGGCUGCACUGAUUUACAAGGUCACGUCUACAGUAGAUCUGUCAAAGAAUAGCAUGUAACAUAUAGGAUUAUUUAAAUAUUGACACAAAAUUUAAAAUCUUUUUUCUUUUUUUUUAGAUUCAUGUUCAUUUUUAUUUAAGAAAUUGUGAUAAAUUCUGAAAGAUUUCAAAUGUAAUUAAAGUUAACUUGUUGUUUUUAUUAUUUUUAUGUAAUUUUUUUUAUCAAUCAAUAACUAGAUUGAUGCAUUUUAUCCGUAGACUGUCCUGUCCUUCCUUGACAGUUUCCUUUUAAAGCCACACACACUUUCACAUGUUGUCACACAGGGCACACAAGACACGCUGCUAGCAGACCCGAGACUCAUCAGUGGUCAGAGGAAUGUGUGUCAAUAGGAGUUUCAGUGCCACAGUUCAACAGCAGAUCUGCUGUUUACACAGGCUAAGUGGUGAUAUCCUUCCUGCUCCUUUCAGCAAAAGUGGAGUCAAGGAGGCAUUCAAAGGUUCAAAAAGGGUGCGUGAAUCAGCCACCAGAGACAACCUGAAGGAUGAGGACCUCUCUGCUCUUCCCACCACUACAAUCAGCCUAAUACCCUGUUAGCUCUUCAAGCUGAACCAGAGUACACACUAAGGGUUCAUGGUUAUUUUGGUAAGAGCUCCAAACCACUGAAUGGGUCAUUUAGGGGGUAAUUGUGGCCCUGGCUGAGUUCUCCGCUGGAUGUCCUUGUUUAGAAACUCUGAAGGAUUGAACAAGCAUCUCUGCCCCUCUCAUCUCUGAAAAUGUUUCUGUUUGCAUAGAGGACCUGCUGACCACAGACAGAAGCUGCCUCUGACCAUAAACCUCCCCUGAACCAUGGAAGACUGUGUCAGUCAAGCUCAAUACCUUUUCAUCUGAGCUCUGGGAAAGCCUUCUCUUUCGUUGCUGCAAGAUCUCACUUACUCCCACAGGGAGUUUUCAGCAGGUUGUUAGCAGGAGGAAUGUUGGUCACUAUUUGGUCUGUCUGUUAUCACUAGAAUUGGAACAGAAACAACACCCAUUUUCAGCCCCUUGUUUUUUCUUUCAAUAUUUGUCAGCAAUAAAGAACAGGAAAUAUAAAAU